CAAUAACGCUAACAAUGAUAUAUAAUAGUUUUUUUCUAUGCUAAGAAAUACCAUUUUUUAUGAUUCUCAUUUGAAGCUGUGCAAUAUUCUUGACCACAAGAUUGUCGAGGUAAAAUUUUAACCUAUGAUGUUGCUCGGUAGAAAGUGUAAUUAUUGUUUCCUGCAAAAUACCAUCAUUGCACUUGUUUACUAUCUCAUCUCCUUUUUUGUUAGAUUAUCCCAAACUCAGAGUAUAUAAAAGAUGUGAGUAUGACAAACUUACAAGCUGAAGAGGUCCAUGAAGUUGAGAGUUCAACUGAUAUCGUUGUUCCAGUUUGUCACAUUGAAUCAUCUACCGCUGAACUUGGUGAUGCAUUGGGUUGGAAGGCUUUUGGUGAUCUCUUCCUCUUUGUGUUGCACAAAGGUGAUACUCUUCAAGAGAUCAAGAUAUGUAUCCAACAAGAGCUUCACGUUGGAAAUGAAGAAUUUACCAAGGUUUAUAUAUAUAUAUAUAAGUGAAAUGUUUAUAAUUGUGAAGGAUAUGUACUUGUAUUUUAGGCGAUCCUCACACGCAAGAAUGUUGAUUUUAGGUUGUGUUCAGUGCUUUUUUUUAAUUAUAUAUAUAUUAUUAAAACAUAUUA